ACACGUGGGUAACCUGCCUUAUAGUGGGGGAUAGCCUUUCGAAAGGAAGAUUAAUACCGCAUAAGAUUGUAGUAUCGCAUGAUAUAGCAAUUAAAGGAGCAAUUCGCUAUAAGAUGGACCCGCGUCGCAUUAGCUAGUUGGUGAGGUAAUGGCUCACCAAGGCGACGAUGCGUAGCCGACCUGAGAGGGUGAUCGGCCACAUUGGGACUGAGACACGGCCAGACUCCUACGGGAGGCAGCAUG
rnacentral:rRNA from 1 species